GAUGAACGCUGGCGGCGUGCCUAAUACAUGCAAGUCGAGCGAACAGACGAGGAGCUUGCUCCUCUGACGUUAGCGGCGGACGGGUGAGUAACACGUGGAUAACCUACCUAUAAGACUGGGAUAACUUCGGGAAACCGUAGCUAAUACCGGAUAAUAUAUUGAACCGCAUGGUUCAAUAGUGAAAGACGGUUUUGCUGUCACUUAUAGAUGGAUCCGCGCCGCAUUAGCUGGUUGGUAAGGUAACGGCUUACCAAGGCGACGAUGCGUAGCCGACCUGAGAGGGUGGACGGCCACACUGGGAGUGAGCCGCGGUCCAGGCUCCUACGGAAGGCAGCGGUAGGGAAGCUUGCGAGAUGGGCGAAAGCCUGACGGAGCGGCGCCGCGUGGGUGAUGAAGGUCUUCGGGUCGUAAAACUCUCUUAUGGGGGAAAAACGAAUUUGUAAGUGACUAUGCACGUCUUGACGGUACCUGAACAGAAAGCAACGGCUAACUACGUG
rnacentral:rRNA from 1 species